rnacentral:rRNA from 1 species
CAGUAGCCGCGGGAAUACGUAGGGCGCAAGCGUUGUCCGGAAUUAUUGGGCGUAAAGAGCUCGUAGGCGGUCUGUCGCGUCUGGUGUGAAAUCCCGAGGCUCAACCUCGGGCUUGCAUCGGGUACGGGCAGACUAGAGUGCGGUAGGGGAGACUGGAAUUCCUGGUGUAGCGGUGGAAUGCGCAGAUAUCAGGAGGAACACCGAUGGCGAAGGCAGGUCUCUGGGCCGCAACUGACGCUGAGGAGCGAAAGCAUGGGGAGCGAACAGGAUUAGAGACCCCAGUAGUCCCUGUCUCUUAUAC